UCGCAAUGCCCGAAAGGGUGACGAAGCGACGCCGCGUGUGGGAAGAAGGCCUUCGGGUUGUAAACCACUGUCGGGAGUUAAGAAAUGCAAGAAUGUUAAUAGCGUUUUUGCUUGACUAAGGCUCCGGAGGAAGCCACGGCUAACUCUGUGCCAGCAGCCGCGGUAAUACAGAGGCGGCAAGCGUUGUUCGGAAUUAUUGGGCGUAAAGAGCACGUAGGCGGCUAUAUAAGUCGGUUGUGAAAGCCUUCCGCUCAACGGGAGAACAGCAUCCGAUACUGUGUGGCUUGAGUGUGGGAGGGGAGAGCGGAACUUCUGGUGGAGCGGUGAAAUGCGUAGAUAUCAGAAGGAACGCCGGCGGCGAAAGCGGCUCUCUGGCCCAUAACUGACGCUGAGUGUGCGAAAGCUAGGGGAGCAAACGGGAUUAGAUACCCCGGUAGUCCUAGCCGUAAACGAUGGGCACUAAGUAGAGGGGUUUU
rnacentral:rRNA from 1 species